AGUCCACUUUUUAUCCGUUUUAGCCUCUUUGAGCUCCUGUUUUACACAUUUUUCCUCUUUCAGCCCGUCCCUCUGUCUCCUUUCUCUCUGACCGGAUACAGACUCGACCACAAGAGGCAGGAGGAGAACACAGAGAUGACGCUCAGAGGGACUCUGCAGAGACUCGGUCCUUCCAGUCUGGUCCCAGUUCCUCCAGUCAGCCAGUGGCACAACCACACAUCAGUGGUGAGCUUCUCCACAUCAGCUUUCAUGCUGCCUCACUCUUAUUUUGAUGGUU